AUUGAACGCUGGCGGCAUGCCUUACACAUGCAAGUCGAACGGUAACGCGGGGCAACCUGGCGACGAGUGGCGAACGGGUGAGUAAUGCAUCGGAACGUGCCCAGUAGUGGGGGAUAGCCCGGCGAAAGCCGGAUUAAUACCGCAUACGACCUACGGGUGAAAGGGGGGGAUCGCAAGACCUCUCGCUAUUGGAGCGGCCGAUGUCAGAUUAGGUAGUUGGUGGGGUAAAGGCCUACCAAGCCAACGAUCUGUAGCUGGUCUGAGAGGACGACCAGCCACACUGGGACUGAGACACGGCCCAGACUCCUACGGGAGGCAGCAGUGGGGAAUUUUGGACAAUGGGCGCAAGCCUGAUCCAGCCAUGCCGCGUGCGGGAAGAAGGCCUUCGGGUUGUAAACCGCUUUUGUCAGGGAAGAAACGCUCCGAGAUAAUACCUCGGGGUAAUGACGGUACCUGAAGAAUAAGCACCGGCUAACUACGUGCCAGCAGCCGCAGUAA
rnacentral:rRNA from 1 species